rnacentral:rRNA from 1 species
GAUGAACGCUGGCGGCGUGCCUAAUACAUGCAAGUCGAGCGAACAGACGAGGAGCUUGCUCCUCUGACGUUAGCGGCGGACGGGUGAGUAACACGUGGAUAACCUACCUAUAAGACUGGGAUAACUUCGGGAAACCGGAGCUAAUACCGGAUAAUAUAUUGAACCGCAUGGUUCAAUAGUGAAAGACGGUUUUGCUGUCACUUAUAGAUGGAUCCGCGCCGCAUUAGCUAGUUGGUAAGGUAACGGCUUACCAAGGCUACGAUGCGUAGCCGACCUGAGAGGGUGAUCGGCCACACUGGAACUGAGACACGGUCAAGACUCCUACGGGAGGCAGCAGUAGGGAAUCUUCCGCAAUGGGCGAAAGCCUGACGGAGCAACGCCGCGUGAGUGAUGAAGGUCUUCGGAUCGUAAAACUCUGUUAUUAGGGAAGAACAAAUGUGUAAGUAACUAUGCACGUCUUGACGGUACCUAAUCAGAAAGCCACGGCUAACUACGUG